rnacentral:rRNA from 1 species
GACGAACGCUGGCGGCGUGCUUAGCACAUGCAAGUCGAACGGAAAGGCCCUGCUUUUGUGGGGUGCUCGAGUGGCGAACGGGUGGGUAACACGUGAGUAACCUGCCCUCGACUUUGGGAUAACUUCAAGAAACUGGGGCUACUACCGGCUAGGAGCUCCUGCUGCAUGGUGGGGGUUGGAAAGUUUCGGCGGUUGGGGAUGGACUCGCGGCUUAGCAGCUUGUUGGUGGGGUAGUGGCUUACCAAGGCUUUGCCGGGUAGCCGGCCUGAGAGGGUGACCGGCGACAUGGGGACUGAGAUACGGCCCAGACUGCUACGGGAGGCAGCAGGGGGGAAUAUUGCGCAAUGGGCGGAAGCCUGAUGCAGCAACGCUGCGUGCGGGAUGUCGGCCUUCGGGUUGUAAACCGCUUUCGCCUGUGACGAAGCGUGAGUGACGGUAAUGGGUAAAGAAGCACCGGCUAACUACGUG